rnacentral:rRNA from 1 species
GCUUAACACAUGCAAGUCGAACGGAACGAUUAAGCGGAAGUUUUCGGAUGGAAGCUUAGUAGUUUAGUGGCGGACGGGUGAGUAACGCGUGGGUAACCUGCCUUAUACAGGGGGAUAACAGUCAGAAAUGGCUGCUAAUACCGCAUAACCCUUUGGUGCCGCAUGGCACAGAAGGAAAAGAUUUAUCGGUAUAAGAUGGACCCGCGUCUGAUUAGCUAGUUGGUAGAGUAACGGCCUACCAAGGCGACGAUCAGUAGCCGACUUGAGAGAGUGAUCGGCCACAUUGGGACUGAGACACGGCCCAAACUCCUACGGGAGGCAGCAGUGGGGAAUAUUGCACAAUGGGGGAAAACCCUGAUGCAGCGACGCCGCGUGAAGGAAGAAGUAUUUCGGUAUGUAAACUUCUAUCAGCAAGGAAGAAAAUGACGGUACUUGACUAAGAAGCCCCGGCUAACUACGUGCCAGCAGCCGCGGUAAUACGUAGGGGGCAAGCGUUAUCCGGAUUUACUGGGUGUAAAGGGAGCGUAGGUGGCAUGGCAAGUCAGAUGUGAAAGCCCGGGGCUCAACCCCGGGAUUGCAUUUGAAACUGCCAGGCUAGAGUGCAGGAGAGGUAAGUGGAAUUCCUAGUGUAGCGGUGAAAUGCGUAGAUAUUAGGAGGAACACCAGUGGCGAAGGCGGCUUACUGGACUGUAACUGACACUGAGGCUCGAAAGC